rnacentral:rRNA from 1 species
GGAGUCUAGCAUGUGCGCGAGUCAUUGGGCGUUACGAAACCCAAAGGCGAAGUGAAAGCAAAGACUUUAUGUUAAGAUGUGAUCCCGGCAGUCAAUUGACUCUGGGCGCAGCAUCGGCCCGUCUUAUAAUAUUUUUAUUGGGGCGGAGCAAGAGCGUACAUGCUGAAACCCGAAAGAUGGUGAACUAUGCUUGCGCAGGUUGAAGCCAGAGGAAACUCUGGUGGAGGACCGUAGCGAUUCUGACGUGCAAAUCGAUCGUCAGACGUGAGUAUAGGGGCGAAAGACUAAUCGAACCAUCUAGUAGCUGGUUCCCUCCGAAGUUUCCCUCAGGAUAGCUGGCAUGCAUGAAUAAAACAGUUUUACCGGGUAAAGCGAAUGAUAAGAGGUAUUGGGGACGAAAUGUUCUCAACCUAUUCUCCAACUUUAAAUGGGUGAGAAGCUGAACUCUCUUAAUUGGAGAUUGGCAUUGAAUGUGUGUGCCUAGUGGGCCAUUUUUGGUAAGCAGAACUGGCGCUGUGGGAUGAACCAAACGUUUUGUUAAGGUGCCUAACACGUCGCUCAUGAGAUACCACACAAGGUGUUGGUUGAUAUAGACAGCAGGACGGUGGCCAUGGAAGUCGGAAUCCGCUAAGGAGUGUGUAACAACUCACCUGCCGAAUCAACCAGCCCUGAAAAUGGAUGGCGCUUAGCGAUGGACCUAUACCCAACCGACACUGUAAAUGUACUGAUUAAUAACACAGUGUUGAGUAGGAGGGUCUCCGUGGUGAGCGUUGAAGCUUAGUCUGUGAAGGCUGGUGGAGCCGCCACGGGUGCAGAUCUUGGUGGUAGUA